CAGGAAGUUCUGGAGAUGUGCUGGGGGCUAGUGGAGAUGACCAGCUGGAGAUUCGGCUCCUUGGAGAGACAGUGGUUGGCUGGACCUGAGCUCCAGAGGAAGGAGGGACACUUGGAACAAAAAGGAAAUAUUGCUCUGAUCUCACCAAAAGGAGACUGAAACACCGCCAACCAGGGACAGGAGCUUCCUGAGUAGGAGCUGAGGCCUCUGUGCGGCAAUUUAGUGAGAGCAUAGCCGGUCAUCAACUUCUUGUUGGGCAAAGACAACAACAGACAUGUCCAAGUUCAGCCUCAGGAACCACCUUGGAUGGCAGAAGCUGGCCCUUGAAGCUUCCCUAACAAAUAACAGCAAUUCUCGAGAGUCCUCAUGCACACAAGAUAAUGCUUUAGCAGUCAACAGGGGCUCUCAACUCUGGAAUAAAUGACGUCCACUUGGUCA